GAUCAUGGCUCAGGAUGAACGCUGACAGAAUGCUUAACACAUGCAAGUCUACUUGAACUUCGGUUUGGGUUGGCGGACGGGUGAGUAACGCGUAAAGAACUUGCCUCACAGUUAGGGACAACAUUUGGAAACGAAUGCUAAUACCUGAUAUUAUGAUUUUAGGGCAUCCUAAGAUUAUGAAAGCUAUAUGCGCUGUGAGAGAGCUUUGCGUCCCAUUAGCUAGUUGGAGAGGUAACGG
rnacentral:rRNA from 1 species